ACCACCUCUAAAAUGUGUGCUGGAGAGUUCCGUGCAUUUUAAAUUUCUUUUCCUGCACAAUGUAGAGAAUGGUAUUUUUUUUUUGCCUUCCUCCUCCUCCUCCUCCUCCUCCUCCUCCUCCUCUUCUUCUUCUUCUUCUUCUUCUUCUUCUUCUUCUUCUUCUUUUUUGUUUGUUUUGGGAUAUGUGUGCACGUGUGUAUGUGUGUAUCUGUUAAACAAAUACUGUGCCUAUAUUUGUUGCUAAACAAUGCCAUGCAUUUAAGUAUUGUUAAGUUUGGUGAAUGAUGCUGUGGGUUUGGCACUUGAUUAAAUGUAAUGAACACAGUAUUGAAGGCUACAGGGUUGAUCACUGUUUUGCCUUUGAUCUCUCAAAUGUGGAGAAGCAACCUUGACAGAGAACAUAAAUACAAUAUAUGGAUUCAAUUUACUCAACCUGUUGAGUAUCAAAGUGCUCGAUCUGUGGAAGUAGAGUCCAAGUGCUGUAACUUAAAUGGUUUUAUUAUUGAAAGCAUAAAGUUUAGAAAUUCAUUAACUUAACUUUAGUCUAUCUAUCACAGUUAUUAACCACCUAUCCUUGGAACCAAGCCAUGGUUAUGUAUCAUUAGUAUCUGGAAGUAGGUCUUUGCCUCUGUAGGUGAUAGUUGCUGCAUUAGUAUUGUAAAACUGUGUUCUGCCAGGUCUGCCAAGUAAUAGAACUGUUUAUAAUAAUACAUUUUUCAUCUCUGAAUGCAUUGAUAAAGAAAAUAAGGACAGUGAUGCUUUAUAUUAUGGUGCAGCUGCAGAGCAUCUGAAGCUAGCAUACAGCAGGGUUUCAUCAAGAAAAAGUCUCUCCUGAGUGGAAUUAUUAAAUACUCGGCAUUAGUCAAACAGUUGAGUCAGACAGGAUUUUAAUCUAUAGCAAUUUCAAAAUCCCCAGAGACUGCUGAUUUGAUUGAGGCUUAAACUGUGAAAGAAAAUGGAAACAAACACAAAACUGAUUUGUGAAGGUCACUUUUUAAAGACCAAAGCUUCUGUUUCUGAUUCUGUGUCUGGAUGUAUUUUGAAGUUUGAAAGCUAAAUGGUUUUGUACGUUUUCUUAGCUUUCUGAUUUUUUUUCUCUCAGUGGAUCGGACCUUGUGUCUGAUUGAGCUGUCCGCAUCCAGGGCUGUGCCUUCGUUUGUAGUGUAGACUCUUGCUCGAGAGGGCUCAUACUUGUCCUUCUGCUUUCACUUGGCAACCAUGCUUGUCCCCUGGAAACAAGCACAGAAAUGUGUGAAGUCUCUAGCCUUCCUUCCCUGCAUUGAAUGAAAUAUUGAGAUAGGUGUCUCAAACAAUAAAUCUCUUUGAUAGUUUCGAUCUGAGAGUGCUAAGAGAUCUUGCUCAUCUGGAAUUAUCAUUUAAAAAUUGUGAAUCCUGGAAGUGAUGUAUUGUAACCUAAAGUAUUUUAUUCAAGGUUACAGUAGUAGCCUUUGUUGUAGGGGUUUAACAUUCUUGAACUGCCAUAUUAUUAAUGUUUUAGAGUCAGGUGACUCCCAGUCAAGUAAAACACACAUCACUAAAGCAGUUGUUGUGCGUUAUUAAAAGUUGCCAUAUUCAGCGCUUUACUCUGAGGUAAUGAUACUCCACAUUUAUCAUAUAGCAGUAUAUCAAUUUUAGCUCUUUGUAAAGAUAUCCUCAUGCCACAGAGAGGAAUAUCAGUGCACUAUUGGCAACCAUAGUUUGAUUUAAAUCUGCUGCAAGAAGAGUUUUUAAAAUGAUGUUUAAAAAAGGAAACAGAUCUUUGCCCUUGAUUCACUCAUAUUUCCAUCAGAGACACAUUGUAGGAGAUUCUAGGGUAUUGUUCUACAGCUCUGAGCCUCUGCCUGAAAGUGAUAAUCUUUUUGAGUAGAGAAAGAGCUUCUUGGUGACUAAGCUCUGUUGUUAUUUUUCUAAGCCUGUUUUCAUUCCAGAAAGCCAUAGUUCCUUUCUGAGACAGAACAAUGAAAUGUGUGUGCUGCUUUCUGUAACUUGGAGCUAAAGAAACCCUAUAGAUGAGGAGUUGGACUAUUAUGAAUAAUUCUCUGCCUCUCAAAUGGUUUGGAUCCCUAUUGUUCAACGUAUUUUUUAAGAUGUUAGAAGAUGAAAUUCAAGUUAACAAUGUGGAAAAUUUUAGCUCAGCACAAUUAAGAAAAAAAAGUACCCCACUUGAAGAUGAAGAAAUUGUAAACAGAAGUAGAAGAAACUGUUGGGAAAGCUUUUUUCUGCUGACACAUUGCUUCUUUGAAUAAAUCUUUGUGUCAACUAAAACCUCGCCUUUGCUUUCUCUAUUGCAAGCACCAAGUCCUUGACAUGACUUUAAGUCUUUCCUAAGCAUUUUGAGAAGGAAUUGAUGGAAUUCUCCCUACUGUUGAUAUACCGGGGUGCCACAUAUUUACAAGGGGCUUUUUGGCCAAAAGACCCAACUUUCCUUUUUUGUACCUUUAUUACUACAUCUUUAAUACAAGGCUGGACUGUUUAUGCAGUCUGUUGCCUGAGACUGUGGUGGCAGAGGGACAAUAUUGGGGGCAGUAUUAGAAUUUGUUUAAGUCUGAACCGGGAAUUCCAUUUGUCUUAGUGACGUUAGUGUCAAACUGUUAGUGCCACGCUAUUUUAAAUUGUGUCCAAGAGCCUGAGAGGCUUAUGCUUAUAGGUGCCAUCUAUAAACUUAGAAAGAAACAAAAGAGUCUCUUUCCAUUGAAUAUAUAAGCCCAGUGAGCAAUUAAAAAGCAGCCUGGGACCUCACCCGGGCAACUAGUCAGAACCAGAGCUCAUGAUAGUCCCCUGGAUAUUGUUGAAAACUGUCAGAGAAAAGCUAAAGCAAAUAAUCGAAGUGAAAAUAAUUGUUCCCAGGAAAAAGUCUUGUUUUGUAAGGUUGGUGUAGUGUAAAGAAUAGAGACUAGUAACUUGUGAAUCUUUGGCUCUGUUCUCAACUUUGCCUGUAAUUACCUGUUUGGGAAAUUGCUUCAAAACCCAAGACUUUUCUACCAUAAAAUGAAGGAAUUGAAGUAGAUUAUUUCCAAAGCCUCUUCCAGCUUGAGAAAUUGAUAAACUUGUACUUUGGAUCACCUUUGAAGAAUUUUUAAAAAUCAGGGUAAAAUUUAUAUGUAGCAGAAAUGUACAUAUCUUAAUCAUACAACUUGAUGAACUUUCAUACCUAUGUAUAUCACUACUCAGAAUAAAUUAGAAUAUUUCCAUCAUUCUAGAAAGUUCCUUCAUGCCCCUUCCAGUCAAUACUACCUUUGAGCUAGAGAUGACCACUAUGAGUUUUAUCAUCAUAAAUUAGUUUUAUCUAUAUUAAACUUUAUAGAUACUUUUUUGUGUCUGGCUUCUUAAUGGUUUUGAGUUCAUCCAGGUGUUACAUGUGUUACUAGUUCCUCUUUUUACAUUGCAAUGUAGUACAAAUAUAACACAGUUUAUGUAUCCAUUGUCCUGGGAGCCUGGGUGGCUCAGUUGGUUAAGUGGCCAACUUCAGCUCAGCUCAGAAGCCUGGAGCCUAAUCCAGGUUCUGUGUCUCCCUCUCUCUCUGUCCCUCCUCCACUCACAAUCUCUCUCUCUCUCUCUCUCUCUGUCAAAAAUAAACAUUAAAAAAAUGCUUUUAUAUAUCCAUUGUCCUACUGUUUUCUGCUUUUAGCUUAUUAUGAAUAAAGCUGGUAUAAACUUUAUUGUACAAGCCUUCUUUUUUGACAUAUGCACUUUUUUUUUUUUACAUAUACAUGCAUAUAUUUUGAGCAUAUACCUAGGACUGGAAUUGCUGGCUCAAGAAGUAGGCAUGUCUUUAGCUUUAUUAGGAGCCUCCAAGAAGGUAUUCCAAAAUGACUAUGCCAUUUUUCAUUCUUAGAAAUGUAUGAGCCAUUCUUGUAAAUGUAAACGGUAGUUUCAAUUUGCUUUUCUCUGAUGAAUAUCAAUACUGAGUACCUUGAAUAUACUUUCUGGCCAGUUGGAGAUCUUCUUUUGUAAUGUACUUGUGAAGUGAACUUUUAUGUGGUCUGUUGUCUUAUUGCACUUAAAUUCUUUAAAUAUUUUGGAUGUAGGUCUUCUGUCAUAUUUUACAAAUAUUUCCUUUUAGUUUAUUGCCUUUUCACUUUCGUAUUGGUGGUUUUUGACAGCCAGAAGUCCAAUUUUUCCACUGUUUUUCCUUUUAUGUUUUGUGUUUUAAACAAAAAUUUUUCCCCAUUCCACCCAGUCUUGAAUGAUGCUUUUCUCUAGUAAUUGUAUAGUAUUGGCUUUUGCAUUUGGGUAUAUGAACCUUUUCAAAUUAUUUUUUAUCAUGCUAUAAGGCAAAGAUCAAGGUUCAGUUUCUUCCAUGCAAUUUCUUCUGGCACUAUUUAUCAAAAAGAUACUUUUUUCCUCCAAUGAAUUUCAUUGCUGCCUUUUUAAAAAAUCCAUGUUUUUCCUGGAUUCUCUAUUCUGUUCCUUUGAUGUGUGUGUGUGUGUGUGUGUGUGUGUGUAUCUGCCUUUACACCAAUAUGAUACUGUUUUAAGAUUGUAGCGUUUUAGUAAGAGAUAUAGCAGUUUAAUAUCUUCACUUUUGCUUUUCAUGUCUGUCUUGGCUACUCUAGAUUCUUUGCAUUUCCAAACACAUGUGUAUGUAUAUACAUACCAGUAAUUCAUGGUGUGGUCCACUGACCUAUGGAAGUCCCCAAGACACUUUUAAGGGAUCGGUGCUUGAAAGCUAUUUUUAUGGUAAUAUGAAGUGAUUAUUGGCCUUUCUUUUUUAUGCUGUGUUGAUUAAGUACAGAUGAUGCAGAAGCAAUGGUUGAUAAAACUGAUGGCAUCUUAGCAUAGUGAAAGCAGUGGUACCAAACUAUGCUUGUAGCUAUGGGUACUCACUCAUAGUUUAAAAAAGCUACAAUUACUUAAGAAUGUCUAUGAUACAGACAAAAUCAUUGACAUGUGAAAAUUUUAUUCAAUUUUGCUGCUUGUAUACUUCUUUUUAUUAUUCUAUAUAUCACAGUUGAAUUAAUGAAUGAUAGUUGUCUUGACAAAAUGCACUUGUGUGAUUAUUGUGAACUGAACUAGCAACUAUUUUCAUGGAAUACUAUUUUAUUAGAAAGAACAACUGACAAACUUUGUUUAUUCAAACCUGGGUAUUUGGCAAAAAUUUUCUCAAAAAUAAACAAAAUAGGCCUGCCACUUCAAAGAAAACAACUGACAAAAUUUGUUACCAAUGAUAAAACUCAUUUUCAAUUAAAACUUAGAAAAUUGAAAAUCAUAUAUCCAUGUAUCUACCACUAUUUAAUAAGCUCCCAAUACUUAAAGACAUUUCUGAUGAGAUAGGUGGUGAUAUUAACCAGUGUGAUAUUUUUAUGUCAUAUAAUAAUAUAAAUCCACAUUUGGAGAUCUGAAAUAUUUUCUGAAAGACCAAUUUUAUUAUAUUACAAAAGUAUGUAUGGUUAAUGGACUCAUUCCAAAUGUAAGAAAGGACAAAGGAUUUUCAUGUAACAGACUACAAAAGUUAAUUGAUAUCGUUUCAAUUAACUUGUUAAGGAUCAUCUCAAAGAAGAAUAUUCUAAGAAUCUGAAAAGGCUCAGGAUCUGAAUAUGCUCUAUCCUUCUCCAGUUACAUUUUUGAGUGAGGCCAACUUGUCUUCACAUACUCAACCAAAACAACAUAUCACAACAGAUUGAAUGCACAAAUUGAUAAGAGAAUCUACCUGUUGUUUAUUAUAAAAGUUUCUGUCCAAAAAAGUAAAAAUUACAUUCUUCUCAUUAUUUUUCACUUUGGAAAUUUUGAAUAAAAAAUAUCACUUAUGUUAAUACAUAGAGAGUUUCUUGUAUUUUAAUGAGUUAAUACAUAAAUGUUUUCAAUGUUGAUAGAUAUAAAAUACAUAAACCUUUUGUGCUCUUUGGAAACCUCAAUUUUUAAGAGCACAAAAGGGUCCUGAAUCAAAAAAUGUUUGAAAAUCACUGAGAUAUAACUAUAUCCUCAUAUACAUACACAUUAAAUGUAUAAUCAUCUCUACAGAAAUUUAGAUGAGAUUUCAUUGGAUCAAAUUUUGGAGAAUUGACAUCUUAAAAAUAUUCAGUCUUCCAACACAUGAACAUUUUAUAGCUCUCCAUUUAGUUAGGCCUUUUUAAUUUCUCCUACUACUGUUACAUUUCAAUGUAAAAGUCUUAAACAUAUUUUAUAAAAUUUACUUCAAUUAUUUGAUGUUUUGAUGCUAGUAUAAAUAGCGUAUUGUGUUUCAUUUUUCAGACUUUUUUUCAUAGCAUAUAGACUACAUAAUUUUGUUUGUAUGUUGAACUUGUAUCCAGAAACCUCUUUUUUUUUUUAAAUCUUCAAGUUUUUAUUUAAAUUCCAGUUAGUUAACAUAUAGUGUAAUAUUAGUUUCAGGUGUAGGAUUUGGUGAUUCAUCAGUUACCUACAACACCCAGCACUCAUCACAAGUGCCCUCCUUUCUAAAUUCAUGUAUUCUAAUAGAUUCCUUUGGAUUUUCUACUAUGUAGUCAUUGAUCUGCAAACAAAGAUGGUUUUCUUUCUUUCUCAUCUUUAUACCUUUUAUUUCUUUUUCCUCUUUAUUGUACUUGCUUAGACAUUCCAGCUAAAUGCUGAAUAGAAGUGAAGAUAUUGAACAUUCUUGUCUUAAUCUUAGAAAGAAGUUUUUAAUAUUUCUGUAUAAUGUUACAUGUAAUUUUUAAAAUGAAAACCUACAUUUGAAUAUUAUUUCUUUAUUGGAGUGAGGAAUAGUUGGGCAAAAUUCAUAAAAGAAUCAAACUGACAUUCUAAAACUGAAAAAUAUACCUUAAAUAAAUAAUUUGUGGAAUGGGCUUAAUAGUUGACUGGAUGCAGAAGAAAAGGAUCAGAGACUCAAAAACAAGUCAAAAAUUAUCAGACUGAAGCACAGAGAGAAGAAAAUAAUGAAAUAAAACAACUCAGUGUGACAAGUAUGUGGGGUAAUAUUAAACUGUCUAAUGUAUGUGGUUGUUACACAUGGAUGACAAGGAGGGAAAGGGCAAAAAAAAAAAAAAAGUGAAUGGCUGAGAAUUUUCCAAAAUUACUUAAAGACCUGAACUUUCAAAGUUUCAAGAAGCUCACUAUACCCCAAGUAGGAUAAAAACAAAAUCACAUGAAGGCAUAUCAGAGGCAAACUGUUGAAAUCCUUAAAUCAUGAAGCAAUUUUAAAAACUCCACUGUAUUUCUUUAUUUCUUGGGUUCAUAUUUGGGUGAGAGUUUAGAGUUAUGACAAAAUUAGGGUGAUUCUUAAGUUUCUUUGGCAGUAUGAGAUCCCCAUCUCCCAGGGAUCUAUGAGGAAUCUUUAGGAUAUUCACCAUUAGAUAGAAGUAAAAGAUAUGGAAAGCCAGUAUUUAUUGAUAAACAGCUCUGUGCCCAACACUGUGCUAGGUGCUUUUACAUGGCUUAUCCCACUGAAUCAUAUUUAAUUAGGAUCACAGGCCCAUCUCAGAAAUAUGCAAAGCGUGGGACCUAAGACACCUAGCUCCUGAUACUUAGAAUUACUUAAAGUGCAUUAUGGUGACACCUCAGAUAAGUCCAAAUCUCCUUUUACCCUGACUGAUCAAAUAUUCAUUUCAAAACACUGUAUGCUGAAAUGAGUCACAUGGGAGUUGAAGAAAAUCAACUAUUCAGGUGGUGAAAAUGUGUGAAUGCAGCUGGCAGAUGAAGUUCCAGUAUGAUGAAUUCCCAACUUGUCCUUAUUGCUGCAGGCAACAACUGACAGGCCUGACUGGUCAUUGGCUUUCCAUUUCUGGCAUUGAUAGGACUGAAAAUUCUUCGUGUCACAGAUACUUAAAAGCUGUCCCUGUUAUAGUGGAUACAAACAGUGCUGGAGGGUCCUUAUUGCAUAGAGAUGUAAUCAAUAUGGUCUAGAGUUCUUGACCCGAACCUAUAAUUAUCUGGAUGUUAUAAAGGUAGCUUGUUGUUACAGAAAAUGCUUAUAUUCAGAACUUUGGGACUAAGUUGUGAAUGGAGAGAAGAAAAAUAGGAGCUUUGUCCCUCUUCCUAUAUUUCACAGUAUUUAGGAAGCUAUCAUAGUAAUCACAGAACAGAGUAUUCUUAUAGGAUUAGUAGAACAUUGUAUCAUCAGGCUUUGGGGUGCUGAAGUUUAAAUCUUACCUCUGAUGUGAUCCUAAUCCCAGAAAAAGUUGUGACUUUAAUGUUUUGCAGCUUGUGGCUAUGAUUGUUUUGAAUGCCAAAAUGGGGGGGGGGUUGUUUUUGUUUUUUUUAUUGAGCCAAAUUCCUGGAUUUGAAGUGCAGCUUUAAAUAAUAAUACAUUUUGAGUUUGCUAUUUUCCUGCUGCUAAGAGUAUGGUGAAAAAAGCUGGGUAAGCAUACAUUACAGCAUCUGUGAUCCAUGGGCAGGAGUGAGCAGAAGGAGAUGACACUGGUAGCAGUUCUUAAGUCAUUGUUUGUACUGAUGUGUUUAAGUAUAUUGUGAUCGAGAUUAAUUUGCCAUUGAAAAUAGUGGGGGAAAAGGCACAGAAUGACUUAACAGGAGAUGUGAAUCCUGAUUCCUCUGUUACUGCUUGGUUUAACAUAACUCUGGAUGGCAUUAUUAUUGCCUAUCCAUGCCUAUGGAUAGGAUGCCUUGAAAAAGAGGGGGAAAGUAAUGUUUUAUAGUAAAGGGCUCUUUAAGAACAAGAGCUGUCUUUGUAGGUCUCAUGCCUGGUAUUGGUGCUUGUCAUGGAGCAGAUAAUCAAUAUUUGUUGCAUUGUUGAUUUCUGAUAGAACAUAAGGCUUAAAAUAUACCAUAAACUGAUUAAAAUUUAAUAACAUUGCAUCUUUAUAUCUACAUUACAUCACUUACACCUAGAAAAUAUGAUCUUGGCCUAGAGUUCUUUAUUAGAGUUGCCCUUAGGUUUAUUGUCACUAUUUCUUUGUUUGGGCCCUUAGUAAACUGUGUUAUCAGUAGGAAUAUUUUUUUUUAUUUUUAUUUUUUUAAUAUUUUUGAGAGACAGAGAGAGACAGAGCAUGAGCAGGGGAGGGGCAGAGAGAGAGGGAGACACAGAACCUGGAAGCAGGCUCCACACUCCGAGCUGUCAGCGCCGAGUCUGAUGUGGGGCUCAAACUCACAAAUUGUGAGAUCAGGACGUAGGCUGAAGUCAGACACUUAACCGACCGAGCCACCCAGGCACCCCCAGUUGGAAUAUUUUUGCAGAGCAUUUCAAAUGAUCUUUCAUGUCAUUUUUUAAAAGCAGCAUUAUGUUUAAGUAGUUUGUUUCUCAUCUUUGAUAGCUUUUACAUAAUCAGAUAAUAAAAAUAAGGGAAUUAUGGCCCUCAAAUCAGUUGUGUUUUUGUAGUAUUAGGCUUGCAUAGGAAUUUGUGUUUUAAGGUUAUCUUUACAAAGCAUUCACUAUAGCAAAUUCCUGCUUUCUGGAAUCUUCUCAAGCCUGGAAAACUGAAAGCAAUGGACCUGCUUUUGUUUUCUGGUCAUACUGGGCUAAUUUUCAGACAUAUCAUUGUAUGGUUAUUUAGGGCUGUCUUUUAAGCUUGCCUGUCUUAUACAUGAACCCAGGAUAUUAGCAUUUAGGGAUAUCUGACCUAAAUUCCAUUAAACCAAAAUAAUUUCUUGAAGAAUUGCCACCAUUUUUGUAAUGUCAUUGCAGUUCAGUGACUUGUACUUAUGCUCCAGGCAGCCCUGUGAGACUUGGUAUCUUGAGUCUUAAACCUGUUUUACUUUGUUGAGCUAAGAAUAUUGGAAAGACCACAAUUAUUCUAUAAAUGCUUCAUGUUAAGAUUGGAGAGAAUACCAAAGUUACACUUGAAACUUUAAUUGAAUUCCCGUUAGUAAUCCCUUUUUUAGAUGCGUUUAUAUACUUUUCAGAUGAACAAUGUUUGCAUGAUUGGGAAGAGAAAAGACUUUCAUUUCACUCUUCUGUUUCUCUCUACCUAAAAAGGACACUUACAGCAUCCAUACUAGUCCCUUUGACAUUCUCCUAUUGGGCUGACCUUUCCUAUGUUAGAAAUUUUUAGCCAUGAGUGAAUACCUUUAAAUAGAGUAUUUAUAGCCAUGGUAGGAUCCUAAUUCCCGGAGUCAGAGGGCCUAAACUAGAGAGAUCUUAGUAAAAUGUUGGUAUGGUGCCUGAAACUUUUCAUUUGCCUUGAAACCUGUUCUUAAUUUUACUCUUUAUUCCAAUUCACCCCAUUGAUUAAAUUAAUUGCUUUCUCCGCUGCUCUUAAACUUUUACUGUUGUGUUUAUCACCUCAUAUUAAAGUUAGUUGGGAACCAUUUCCCAUUCUAGACUGUGAGCUCAUCUUUGUGCUCCCCACAGCACCCUGAAUGGUUCUGACCCAUAAUAGGCACUCAAUAAAUGUUAAUGAAUUCAACAUUUCAGCAUGAAAUAUUGAAACCAAAUUUUUGCAUUUGACUAGAUACAGUAGUUGCCUUUUAGGAAGGGAACUGAGUGGCUAGGGAACAGAGAUAAAAAGGAGACUUUUUUUUCAAUGUAGUCUUUUAGAACAUGUGUAUGCAUUAUCCACAAAACAUAAAUGAAACUGUUUAACACCUAACAUAUUUUUCAGUAUUUGAUAGGUUACCAUUGCAAGCUGUUUGUUUGUUUAUUUACAUAAAUGAAGAAACUGAGGUUAAGGGAUGUUAAAUAACUUGUCUGUUGUCACAUAGCUAGUAGGCAGCAGAGCAAAGAUAUGAUUCUGUGAAACCUUCACUUCUUCCAGGGUAUUAAAUAGCAUCUUGGCCACAAUAGCCUGCCUUGAUUUCAUUCAUAUGAUUAGCAGGUGUUAUAUCUGACCUAGGAACUGUCUUUAUUUAUUUAUUUAUUUAUUUAUUUAUUUAUUUUAUUUAUUUAUUAAGAGAGACAGAGCACAAGUGUAGGGAGAGGGUCAAAGGGAGAGAGAAUCUUAAGAAGGCUCCACACUUAGCCUGAUGCAGAGCUUGAUUCCACAACACUGGGAUCAUGACCUGGGCUAAAAUCAAGAGUUGGGUACUCAAUCAACUGAACCACCCAGGUGCUCCUAUUCUUUAUAGCAUAUAUUGUGUACAUCAUAGAAUUCUUCAACUACAGCCUUUCCACUCUUAGGUGGCACCUCUAUUUUAAGGAGCCAUUGGCCAGACCUCUUUGAUAAGGUUUUGAUGGCUCACGUAGGUAUUCCUGCUGCUGACAGAGAAACUCUUACUCUUUAAGCAGUAAAUAUUUACUUUCAGCUAGGAAAGCCACUAUCAAUCAGGUAAUGUUUUCUGAAGCUGAAAAAGGCAUUCACUAAAGAAUGGUGAUUGCCCAAGGUCACUUUCUUUUCCAUCUGCUUGUGGGCAAAUGCACACUAAAAGAAUACUAGUGUUUGAAACUCACAAUUUAUUCUGUAUUUGGGGGUAGGGGAGAGGGAGGCAAAGUGAUGAUAUUUCUCUUAGAAAUAUUUUUAAUUGCUUUUUCAAAGUAUGGAUUAAAGCAUAAAAGAAGCCAAAAAUGUCCUGAUACUAAAUGGACUGGACACCUUGAUCUAUCAUGGCAUAAUAUAUGAGUGGGGAUUCCCAAAGGACCUUUGUACACUACAAUAUUUAUUACUAUAAAGAUCUAUGAGUUCUUAGCCACUUUGAAACUUAUAAAAGCUGUUCACAUCCCAUCCACUGGACUUGUGUUUUCACAUGUUUAAGUUAUUCUUGUUUGUUUUGUAUAGUUUAUUCAGAAAUAACUCCCCACUUCAAAUUCUGAAAAAUAAUAUCUGGCCCUUUAAAAGGUGGAGAAAAAAAUUCAACUCGGGUAUGAAAGUGUACGUGAGAGAGAAAUGUAUUUGCUUGCUUUUCCUGUCCAUUAACGCUUGGGAACUACAGGAUCUUUAACCAGCCCAUUUAUGCCUCUGUUUUCUCAUCUGCAAAAUGGCAACUAAAUAUUUGCCUUCUAUUUGGUUGACAUAAACAAAAUACUAACAAACCCGAAAGGCUCUGGAUUGAUACCUCUGUCAGCUCCUGCUGUCGAAGGUGGAAUUUUCACUUGUAGUUUGUUCAUUGUUAUUUCAAGAAUAAACAUUAUGGCUUGUUCUUGGUUUAUUAUGGUUUAUUUUUAACAUUAUAGUCUUGGGGCACCUGGCUGUCUCAGUCGGUUAAGCGUCUGACUCUUGAAUUCAGCUCAGGUCAUGAUCUCAUGGUCCAUCGGAUCAAGCCUUGUGUUGGUCUCUGUGCCGACAGCAUGAAGCCUGUUUGGGAUUCUCUCUCUCCUCCUCUCUCUGCCUCUACCCUGUUUGCAUGUGCUCUCUCUCUCAAAAUAAAUAAAUACGCUUAAAAAUAAAACAAAAACAAUAUAGUCUUAAGAAUAAAGAAAGAAGUUACUAAGGAACAUUAAUGAAUAUAAAACCACUAACAUGCACAAAAAUAGCUAUAUGCAAACUAGUAGGUGUCCUUGACUGAGACAAAAUUAUUUUGAGGUGGUGAUCAUGAAAAUUAUCAUAAUUUUAAAUUAUGUGUUUCCCUACUUAUGAAGGAAACCUAACUGGACUAUGUAUUCUGGGAAAGUUAUAACAUUAAAAGACAAUAAAUACGAUAUUUAACAUCUCUAUUUAAAUCUUGAGUUACAUGCAGCCUAUACAGUUCCUGUGCUGCAUAUUAAAUUUUAUAUAUGAUGAAUAAUACCGUUUUUUUACAAUAUUUGAUUGCUUAAUACACUGUGCUAAGUACUUCAUAUACAUUAGCUUUUUUAUUCUUCAUAAAAUUCCCAUGAGGUAAAGGUAUUGUUAUACAGUUGACCCUUGAACAAUGUGAGAGUUAGGGGGGCUGACCCCCCUGUACAGUUGAAAAUCCAUGUAUAAAUUUUGACUCCCCUAAAAGUUAAUUACUAAUAGCCUGCUGUUGGCCAGAAGCCUUCCUGAGAACAUAAACAGUCAAUUAACCCAUAUUUUGCAUGUUAUAUAUAUUAUAUACUGUAUUUAUAUACUGUAUUCUUAUAAUAAAGUAAGCUAAAGAAAAGAAAAUGUUAUUGAGAAACUCAUAAGGAAGACAAUACACAUUUACAGUACUAUAUUGUGUUUAUGUUUUUAAAAAUCCAUGUUUAAGUGGACCCAUGCAGUUCAAACCCAUGUUGUUCAAGGAUCAACUGUAAUUCCCUUUUUUCAGAAUAAGGAACUAUGACUCAGAAAAGUUAUAUAUGCUGUACUAUCUUCCACUUUGGCAAUGCCAUCUGAAUUUCUUUGUCAUGAAUGUGUUUUAUGUAGCUCUCUAUUAAAUUUUAUUUUUGAUAGGUGCAUUUUUAGAAUAGGCAGGUUACAUGUAGCAGAAGUACAUGAACUUUGUGGUCAAGUGUAAAUUCUGUCCUUAUAGCCAACCAGGUAUAUGACCUUGCGUCUCUUUUUCCUUAAGAAGAAUAUAAGAACACCUGUCUCCUAUUGGGAAAAUUCAUAGGACAUUUGUAAAGAUUCUGGCCAUAGCCCAGGUAUACAACAAGGACUCAUUAAAUGUUAGUUCUUUCCCUGUUACUGUUACUUUAUUUCAAUGAUGAUGAUGAUGAUGAUGAUGAUGAUGAUGCAGCAGCAAUAGCUUUUACUAUAUCAAAGUUUUGGUACACAACAAGGACUCAUUAAAUGUUCUCUCCUUGUUACUUUAUUUCAAUAAUAAUGAUGAUGAUGAUGAUGAUGAUGAUGAUGCAGCAAUAGCUUUUACUGUAUCCCAAAGUUUUUGUUUUCUAUAUAUUUUAUGUUUAUAUACCUUUGGAGACUGGCUAUAGUAUUGUCCUCAUUUUAUAAUUGAGGACACUGACUUUGAGAAGUGGUAGAUCCUAUGUUGGAAGCCAGGCAGUCUAAUGCCAGAGCUUGUAUUCUUAACUAAUAUGUAAUUUUCUUGGAAGACAUGUUCCAUUAACAAUAGAUUACAUUCUGAUAUUUUAAGCAACAGUUUAAAUCUCAGAAAUCGUCAUCCCACCCCCUCCUACACCAUCCAUUUCUUCCAGUUUCAGAUUGUGACAGUAUGACAGUUUCUUUCCUGAUCCUCAUUUGAUUCCUAUGGUAAGUUUGUUAGAUUAGAUAUGUAGAGACCUUUCUGAUUGUAAAAUCUGUGAUCGUAUAUUGUUUGGUUACAUUUGCAGUAUUCUGAGGCAGCUCUGAUAGUCCCUUAAGGGAAAGGGAUUCAUCACUGAUUUUGAUAAGGAAUAUGUUGACUUCUUGACUGAACUGAAAUUAGCCAUUUCAUGGGAGUUUUGGUGGGGACUACAGAACAGGAAUUAACUCCUUGAGCUGCUUCACUCCUUAAAAAGAGGAACCUCAAAAUAGUUCUGCCCAAACGGAUUUGACUUUAGGGAUGUUUGUUUUUGCAUAUAAAUACAUUUCACUCAGUCUUCAGAAGGUACUCUGUCUUCAAAAAUGGAGCUUGUUUUGUUUGCGAGGGGAGCAGACCACCCUCUGGAGUAUGUUAGACUGGCUGUUUACAUUUGGUUUUAACUGUCUUGGUCUGUCCCUGUCUCUCCUUCACUCUUUUUACCCCUCUCUCUGUUUCAGUUUGUCUUCUGUUUCUCUUUCUCCUGUCUAGCUUCUAUCUUCCUAUUUUGAUAAUUCUGCUUUAUUUCUGUAAGUGAAAGACUCUCCCAGGAUGCUGAAUAUGCCUUUAUUUUUACAGCACUCCUUAUAUGCACAGAAGAUUUUAGCUUGGCUGUAAAGCUUGCUCUUGGCAUAAAUUUGGCAGAUAGUUUUUAGCCUGGGUGAGACUUUUUAUUGGGAUCAUGAAAGUGUUGGGCCGUCACUGCCCUCCACUUUUCCUUCUUGAAGUAUGACAUUAGUGGUUUUAGCUCUUGUUGACCCUUCUUUUUAAACCAAAGCUUUAUAGCUUAUUAGUGCAUAGUGUGGAUUUUUCUUAUGAUAUGUUGGAGGGAAAGAAAAAAACUCCUCUAAAGUUACAAAUGGUUUCACUUACCAAAAUGAUUAUUUCUCUUGGAAAGUUCUGUCUUUUCUUUAAAAUUUCCGGGAGUUGGGUGGGCUCGAUGUCCUCUCUCCCACUCUUUCUCUACCCACACUCUCACACUGGCAGAAAUGCUGAGAGCUUUAAGCAUAAUUCCAGGCUUCUAGGAGGCAAAUCAUUGACCAAGGAAUAACCAAGAUACGCUUAUCUGCUGUUAUUUUUAAAGAAAGUUUUUCAGUCAAAAUGGAAGUAAGGACAGGAUGCUGCAGGCUUGUUUUUGACUGUUUGUUUCACUUAUGGAACAUAGAACAGAUGCUUUAGAACAUCAAUAAUGAGUAUUUCAGGCACCGUUGGGGAAUUGAAAUCUAUGCUUUUCAAAUCUGCAAUUAAUCUCAUACUUCGUCAUUUAUUGGAUCAAAUAGUUUCAUUUGCUUAGGAUCCAGGUCAGCGCCUUGAGCUCCAAAUCAGGUAUUACUUGUACCUUUGUGAGAGAUUCUCUGCUUUGCCCCUAUCUGUUUCUGCUUCAUUUAAGCGUCUUCAUUUUUCCAAGGCUUUAAUGAAAUAAAAAUUAUUUGCCCUCUCCCUAAAAAUAAUACUUAAAAAACUUUUAUCUUACAUUUUGCUUAUCAGAGUAACUUUGCUCAGCCUUGGAACAGAGCACUCUUAAUGUGAGCCCGAUAGAUCUAAGCUUCUGAUGGGUCCACAAGAAACCACUGAAGAAAUUUAAGGAUUUCCUGGCCAAAGCAAGGUGUGUCCUUCAGUAGGGUUUCAGAUUAUAACAUAAACCUAGAUACAUCUGAAAAGAAGAAAAAAUGUGAUUUUUUUUUUAUCACCAUAAACUGUAUAAAUACAUACUUCAGGUAACCUCCAUAGGUUGCCUCCCUGCUCUUGGCUCAGCAGUGGAUUUUAAUGGAGCCACUUCUGCACCUCUGCUCUUUCAUCCCUCCCUUUUUAUGAGAAUAAAAAGUAAAUUGGGUGCUAUUUAAAUAUUCUCAACUUACAUUUAUUGAAAACUACCCUGCCGUGGGGCAUAGCACUUUGAAAAACUGCCUUGCUUUAGCCCAGUUUUCCACCCAGGUGGUUUACCCCAAAACCUGGACUUUGCUUUACUCAGACUUUUAAUUUCUUUAAACUAAAUAGAAGGAACCCAGUUUCAUUUGUGAGGUUUUUCAAUAAAAGUUAAGUGGAGUGUGGCUAGGAAACCAGACCUGUGAAAAGCCAUGACUCUGCUGACACUAGAGGAAAAGCUACAGAAUUCUUAUACUGCUUUUGCUUUCAGUGUUCAGGAGAAAAGAGGAAAUGAGGAAGGUGGAAGAGCUUUGGUGCUGGUGCAUUUUAGGAAAGCAGGGGAGCAAGGAAAGUUUGUUGGGGUUCAUGUGUCACUUACUGGUGCUUUAUUUGAAAGUCUCCCCUACUUGUAGGUCUAUGUUCUUUCUAGAAAACUUGUCAAGUACAAAAAAUUAUAAAGAAUAAAAUUUAAAGACUGAUUUCAUUCCACAGGUAUAAUUAGUCUUAACAUUUUGGCAUAUAACUUUUUAGUGCCUUUUUAUUUAUAAAAUAUUAGAAAAUUGGCAAUACAUUAAACAAUAUUUUGUAACUUGCCUCAUUUACCAUCAGCAGAUUUCUUUUAAGUAAUUAUUUUUUAAAACAUAGACAAGUUUUGAUGUGUAGCUAUUUUGCGAGAGGGAGAGAGAGAGUGAGAGAAUCCCAAGCAGGCUACAUGCUAUCAGUACACAGCCCAAGAUGGGGCAAGAUCAUAACCCAAGCUGAAAUCAAGAGUCAGAUGUUUAACCAACUGAGCCACCCAGGCACCCCUCAAAACAUAGAUAAUUUAAUAGUUAUAUUCUUUGAAUCAUUUGUCUAAUCUUCUGUCAUUAAAUUUUUUGGUUUUUAAUUUUUUACCAUGCUAAUUAAGAAUAAAUAAAAUUCUUAUAUAUAAAUCCUUGGUUUAUAUAUUUCCAAACAUUUAAGGAAGAAUUAAUAUCAAUUCUUCUCAAAUGCUUCCAAAAUAGAAGAGUAAAGAACACCUCCAAACUCGCUUUACAAGGUCAGCAUUACCCUGAUAGCAAAACCAGAUUAAGGACACUAUGAGAAAGGAAAGUUACAGAUCAUUAUUCCUGGUGAACAUAGAUACAGAAAUCCUUAAUAACCUAUUAGCAAACCAAAUUCAACAAUAUGUUAAAAGGAUCAUAUACCAUGAUCACAUGGAAUUUAUUCCAGGGAUGCUUGGAUGGUUUAACAUCCACAAAUCAAUCAAUUGGUGUGGUAUACAGCACAUUAACAAAAUAAAGGAUUAAAAUUAUAUCACCUCAACAGAUUCAGAAAAAGCACUUGACAAAAUACAACUUCCAUUUUUUAUAAAGACUCUCAACAAAGUGGGCAUAAGAGGGAAUGUAAAGGCCAUAUGUGACAAACCCACAGCUAACAUUAUACCCAGUAGUGAAAAGCUUAAAGGUUUUCCUCCAAGGUCAGGAACAACACAAGGAUGCCCACUUCUGUGCUUUGAUUCAACAUAGUAUGGAAGACCUAGCCAGAGCAAUUAGGCAAGAAAAAGAAAUAAAAGUUAUCCAAAUUGGAAAGGAAGAAGUAAAACUAUCACAAUUUGCAUAUGACAGAUGUUAUAUAUAGAAGCCCUAAAGACUUCACCAAAAUACCCCUAGAACUGAUAAAUGAAUUCAGUAAAGUUGCAGGGUACAAAAACAAUAUAUAAAAAUCAGUUGUGUUUCUAUACACUAAUAACAAACUAACAGAAAAAGAAAACAAUCUCAUUUACAAUUGCUUUGGAAAGAGUGAAAUACCCAGGAAUAAAUUUAGUGAGGUGAAAGACCUGUGUAUGGAAACCAUAUGACAUUGAUGAAUGAAAUCAAAGAAGACACAAAUAAAUGGAAAGAUAUUGUGUGCUCAUGGAUUAGAAGAUUUGAUAUUGUUAAAAUGUCCAUUCUACCCAAAACAGUGUACAGAUUCAAUCCAUUCCCUAUCAAACUUUUAAUGGUAUUUUUCACAGAAAUAGAACAAACAAUCUUAAAAUUUGUAUGGAACCACAAAAGACCCUGAAUAGCCAAAGAAAUCUUGAGAAAGAAGAACAACAUGGAGGCAUCAUGUUUCCUGAUUCCACUCUAUAUUACAAAGCUAUAGUAAUCAAUACAAUAUUGCCAUAAAAAUAGACAUAUAGAUAAAUGAAACAGAAUAGAGAGCCUAAAAACAAACCCACAGAUAUAUGAUCGAUUAAUUUAUGACAAAGGAGCCAAGAAUAUACAAUGGGGAAAUGAUAGUCUCUUUAAAAUUUUUCUUAAAACUUUUAAUUGAUUUAUUAUUUUUUAUUUUUUUAGAGAGAGCAUGUGAGUGGGGGAGAGGGGCAGUGGGAGAGAGAGAAUCUCAAGCAGGCUCCAUGUUCAGCACAGAGCCUGACUCAGGGCUCUAUCCCACGAUCCUAAGGUGACCUGAGCUGAAAUCAAGGGUCAGAUGUUCAGCCACCCAGGCACCCCAGGGUAGUCUCUUCAAUAAAUAGUUUUGGAAAAACUGGAUCACUAUCUUACAACAUACACACAUUUCAACUGAAAAUGGAUUAAAGACUUUAAUGUAAAACCAUUUUGAAACCAUAAAACUCCCAGAAGAAAACAGUCAGUAAGCUUGACAUUGGUCAUGGCGAUAAUAUUUGAAUUUGACACCAAAAGCAAAGGCAAUGAAAACAAAGGUAAACAGUUGGGACUACAGACUACAAAGCUUCUGUACAGUGAAAGAAAACAUCAACAGAAUGAAAAAUUAACCUAUGGAAUGAGAUAAAAUAUUUGCAAAUCAUGUAUCUGAUAAAGGGUUAAUAUCUAAAAUAUAUAUAGGGGCGACUAGGUGGCUCAGUCUGUUAAGCUCAGGUAGUGAUCUCACAGUUCAUGAGUUUGAGCUCUGCUUUGGGCUCUGUGCUGACAGCUCAGAGCCUGCAGUCUGCUUCACAUUCUGUGUCUCCCUCUCUAUCUCUGCCCCUCCCUUGCUGUCUCUCUCUCUCUCGCUCUCUCUCUGUCAAAAAUAAAUAAAUAUUUAAAAAUUUAAUAAAAAAUAAAACAUAUAUAAAGAAUUCAUACAACUCCAUAGAAAAAAAAUUUUGGUUAAAAAUGGACAGAGGAUCUGAAUAGACAUUUUUCCACAGAAGUACACAGAAGCCAACAAGCACAUGAAAAGAUGCUCAACAUCACUAGUCAGCAGGGAAAUGGAAAUUGAAGCCACAUUGAGAUAGCACCUCACACCUAUUAGAAAUGGCUAUUGUCAAAAAGAAAAAGGCUAUUGUCAAAAAGACAAGAAAUAACAAGUGGAUAAAAUGGAAUGCUUAUGCACUAUAAAUUGGAAUUUUGGACAGUAAAUUGGUGCAGCUGCUGUGGAAAACAGUAUGGAGGUUCCUCAAAAAAUUAAAAAUAGAGGGACGCCUGGGUGGCUCAGUUGGUUAAGCAUCUGACUCUUGAUUUCAGCCCAGGUCAUGAUCUCACGGUUCAUGAGAUCGAGCCCCGUGUUGGGCUCUGCGCUGCCACUGUAAAGCUUGGGAUUCUCUCUGUCCCUGUCUUUCUGCCCCUUCCCCACCUGUGCACAUUCUCUCUCUCUCUCUCUCUCUCUCUCUCUCUCUCUCUC